rnacentral:lncRNA from 1 species
GCGAGAACUGUCACCUCUGCCCCUCUCCCCAGGAAUGGGGCCCGAGGCGGGGCCUGCUGGGCAGCAUUUGCCUCAGGAAGCAACCUUGUUCCACAACGAUUAUCUCAAAGGCUCUGUAUGUCCUACAAGAGCACAAUGGCCAGGACAUCUUGAAGAGGCCAGAGGGGGACGUGUGAUUUCUCCAAUGGCUUGGAAGUUCACCGAACUGAACUUGACCAGAGCCGUUCACAGUCACAAUACAUGGCCGAGAGGAAAUGCCCAAACCUCAUGAAAUGCGUUUCAUCAAAGGCUGGAGGACAAAGGAGGUUUUGUCUCUUGGCACUUAAAAUUGGCCGCAUCCCACAGAUGCACCACGUGGUCCAGAGCCAUCUCCUACCGGCUGCAGGACCCGAUCUGUGGACGUUUGCCCCCAGGGCUCCUGGGUACCCAGCCGGGGAGUUCCUCCUUUGGUGCUGCUCUCUGGGACUCCCUGCCUACGUGUGAGCACGUCGCUAGAGGAUCUGCCCGCAUGCAGCACGCCUGCGCUCCAGCCACAGUGGUUGCUGAAAUGACUGCCUGCCAGAGUCUCUGUGCGCCAAGCAUCACCAGCACGUGGUGCUGGGAGAAGGAUUGCUGUCUGCUACGCGGAUGGCAGCCAACUAGAACUGCACUGCUUUCUUGCUUGCUUUUCCUGGCUUAAAAUUGAAGUUGCCCAGAAAAAUCAAACAUACAAUUACCGUAGGAUCCCGGAAUCCUACUUGAAGGGGAUCUCCCCACCAGAAGGGAAAGUGGGGCCUUGAAGCGAUACUUGUCUCCCUGUGUUCACAGCAGCCUUAUUCGCAAUAACUAAAACAUUUAAAACAACCCAAGUGUCCUCCGAUGCAUACCUGGAUGAACAGAAUGUGGUCCAGCCCCAUAACGGAGUGUGAUUCAGCCUUCAAAAGACAGCCGCUACACCACCACUGGACCAAGGUGUGAUGGUCAGUGAGAGAAGCCAGACACAAAGACAGACACAGUAUGACUCCACUUGUAUGAGGUGCCUAGAGUCUUCAGACCCUAGACAGAGAGAGGAGG